AGCGCAGGCGGGAAGACAAGUUGGAAGUGAAAUCUAUGGGCUCAACCCAUAAACUGCUUUCAAAACUGCUGGCCUUGAGUAGUGCAGAGGUAGGUGGAAUUCCCGGUGUAGCGGUGGAAUGCGUAGAUAUCGGGAGGAACACCAGUGGCGAAGGCGACCUACUGGGCACCAACUGACGCUGAGGCUCGAAAGUGUGGGUAGCAAACA
rnacentral:rRNA from 1 species